CAAUAGCGUAUAUUAAAGUUGUUGCAGUUAAAAAGCUCGUAGUUGGAUCUGUGGUGUGCGGUGGGCUCCGGGCACUUGUUGUCUGAGUAGCUCGCCGCUGCCAUCCUUGGGUGGAACCUGUGUGGCAUUAGGUUGUCGUGCAGGGGAUGCCCAUCGUUUACUGUGAAAAAAUUAGAGUGUUCAAAGCAGGCUUAUGCCGUUGAAUAUAUUAGCAUGGAAUAAUGAGAUAGGACUUUUUCGCUAUUUUGUUGGUUUGCGCGAAGAGGUAAUGAUUAAUAGGGACAGUUGGGGGUAUUCGUAUUCCAUUGUCAGAGGUGAAAUUCUUGGAUUUUUGGAAGACGAACUACCGCGAAAGCAUUUACCAAGGAUGUUUUCAUUAA
rnacentral:rRNA from 1 species